rnacentral:rRNA from 1 species
GACGAACGCUGGCGGCGUGCUUAACACAUGCAAGUCGAGCGGUAAGGCCCUUUCGGGGGUACACGAGCGGCGAACGGGUGAGUAACACGUGGGUGACCUGCCCUCAGCUCUGGGAUAAGCCCGGGAAACUGGGUCUAAUACCGGAUAUGACUCCAUGACGCAUGUUGUGGGGUGGAAAGCCUUGUGCGGCUGAGGAUGGGCCCGCGGCCUAUCAGCUUGUUGGGUGGGGUGAUGGCCACCAAGGCGACGACGGGUAGCCGGCCUGAGAGGGCGACCGGCCACACUGGGACUGAGAUACGGCCCACGACUCCUACGGGAGGGCAGCAGGUGGGGAAUCUUGCGCAAUGGGCGAAAGCCUGACGCAGCGACGCCGCGUGAGGGA